rnacentral:rRNA from 1 species
GAUGAACGCUAGCGGCAGGCCUAAUACAUGCAAGCCGAACGGAUAUAUGUUUUUCGGAAUAUAUAUUAGUGGCGCACGGGUGAGUAACACGUACAUAACUUGCCCUCAAGCGGGGGAUAGCCUUGGGAAACUGAGAGUAAUACCCCAUAGAAUUAUUGGACGGCAUCGUUUGAUAAUUAAAACUACGGUGUUUGGGGAUAGAUGUGCGUCUGAUUAGCUAGUUGGUGAGGUAACUGCUCACCAAGGCGACGAUCAGUAGGGGGCGUGAGAGCGUGGCCCCCCACACGGGUACUGAGACACGGACCCGACUCCUACGGGAGGCAGCAGUAAGGAAUAUUGGUCAAUGGAGGGAACUCUGAACCAGCCAUGCCGCGUGAAGGAUGACGGCCCUCUGGGUUGUAAACUUCUUUUGGGUGGGCGAAAAAACGGGNUUUAUCCUGGACUGACGGUACCAUCAGAUAAGCACGGCUAACUCCGUGCCAGCAGCC